rnacentral:rRNA from 1 species
GCCUACGGCCAUACCACCCUGAACACGCCUGAUCUCGUCUGAUCUUGGAAGCUAAGCAGGGUCGGGCCUGGUUAGUACUUGGAUGGGAGACCGCCUGGGAAUACUGGGUGCUGUAGGCU